rnacentral:lncRNA from 1 species
AAAUCUUUGUUUCUGCAUUAUGGAGUCUGCAUUUACAGCUCAGAAUGAAGAUGCCAACUUUUGGUAAGAAUUAAUUUUAAUAUGUUGAGUUACUUGGAUUAAUUUUUGAAUAAAAACCAUCUCUUCUCUGUCAAGAAUUCACCACUUUCGUUGUAUGAUUUGCGUUUUCAUCAAUUUUAAGAAUAAUAGUGUAUUUCUCUGUGACAUAAACUACUCCAUAAAAUGACCAAUGGCAUUGUUAUACUGUUAGUCUGUUAGUACUAGUUAUGAGGUGAAGAGGUUUCAUCCUUGUCACCAAGUUGGAUUUAGGAUCCACACAAAAAGUGCAGAAGUUUAAGGGUUGAAGAAAUAGGAUGCUACUUUGACAAAAGGUAAGAAUUACGAGGACUAGACCAUCUUAACUACUGUUGUUGUCUUCUUUUUCCUUUUUUGGUAAUAUAGUACUUAAAAUUUUAUGAUAACUGACUGCAUUUUUGGUAGCCUAAUAUAUGGAUUGUGAUAACUGAUUGUAUUUUUGGUAGCCUCAUACCGCUUCUAGUUCAAUUCUUUCGAAUUCAUUGGAUCCCUUUCCGCGUUCGAGAAUCCCUUCCUUUCUUACACUUCGAAGAGUAAAGUAACUAGAACUAAUUUAGUCACCUUUUCAUGUUUCAAUUGAACACUUUCUAUUUUUUAUUAUCCUCAAGAGAGAAGAUUAUUCUUUUUAACAGACAUAUACGGGUCCAAUUAUGAUCUUAUAAUAAGAACAAGAGAUCUUUACCCCUCAUUUUUCGAGAAUUAAAAAGAUCCUUUUCAAAUUUGAAUUUGUUUAUUUGGAAUCUAGAUUGUUCUACUUUAUAUUUAUUUAAAUUUAAUAUUUGUCCUCUCUUUUUUUUUUUUAAUAUCAUUCUUUAAGUCCCAUAAGUUUGAUCCUAUAGAAUUUGAUCCAUUUUUCAUUGAACAAGGGAUACGAAAUAAAAUAUUAGAAAAUGAUUUGAUUGGAUAAUAAAAUGGAAGGGAUUAUAAAUAAAGAUGUCUGACUUUCAAAUAUAUGUGCGGGCGGCGGGCGCGCGCAGGCAUUGCGAAAAUUCAAAGUCCCAUUGCCUUUCAAUUUGGACCAGUCAAGGACGCCAUUCAAGAAAGUUGACCAAUAGUAAUGAAGAAAUUCAACGGAAGUCCACGCGAAAGGUAACUUUCAGUUCAGCAUUCAGGGAUUCAGCAUUCAAAGGAAGUAAUCAAGUUACUCUUGAAGUCAUGUUUCAUUCAUUGCCUGUGUAAAGUUUUUUCCCUUCACGAAUCUCAAUUCAAUUGAGAUCGAGAAAUAUAAACGUCCG